rnacentral:rRNA from 1 species
CCCAGACUCCUACGGGAGGCAGCAGUGGGGAAUAUUGCACAAUGGGGGAAACCCUGAUGCAGCGACGCCGCGUGAGUGAAGAAGUAUUUCGGUAUGUAAAGCUCUAUCAGCAGGGAAGAAAAUGACGGUACCUGACUAAGAAGCCCCGGCUAACUACGUGCCAGCAGCCGCGGUAAUACGUAGGGGGCAAGCGUUAUCCGGAUUUACUGGGUGUAAAGGGAGCGUAGGUGGCAUGGUAAGCCAGAAGUGAAAACCCGGGGCUCAACCCCGCGGAUUGCUUUUGGAACUAUCAGGCUGGAGUGCUGGAGGGGUAAGCGGAAUUCCUAGUGUAGCGGUGAAAUGCGUAGAUAUUAGGAGGAACACCGGUGGCGAAGGCGGCUUACUGGACAGAAACUGACACUGAGGCUCGAAAGCGUGGGGAGCAAACAGGAUUAGAUACCCCGGUAA